GCGUCAGGCUCUGGGCUGAUGGCUCAGAGCCUGGAGCCUGUUUCCGAUUCUGUGUCUCCCUCUCUCUCUGCCCCUCCCCCGUUCAUGCUCUGUCUCUCUCUGUCCCAAAAAUAAAUAAACGUUGAAAAAAAAUUUUAAAUAAUAAAAAAUAAAUAAAUAAUAAUAAAUAAUAAGAAAAAAUAACCUGGUACAGCCCAAAUUAAAAAAAAAAAAACAUAGAAAUCCCUCUGCGGACACCUCAAAAGUCCAGAGGAUAACUGGGAUUGCCAGAAUGGGCAAAGAAAGGACUGAUGCCCCUCUUAAUGUGCCAUGUGUGCAAGGCAUAUUUGGUCAGUCACCAGGCUAAGUGACUUGCAUAUGCUAUCUCUAGUCCUCAUAAACCCCAAAUGCAGGUAUCCUCUCCAUGUCGUAGAUGGGUAAACAGGAAGCUCAGAAAAAUUCAAUUAUUUUCCCCCAAGUCACACAGCCGAUGGAGCAUAGCUGUAAUUUGAAUCCCGGUCUCCCCAGUGACAAAGCUUGCACUAUUUUACUAUAUGAAGCUAUUUCAUUUACCUGGAUUUUGGAGUAAUUGGACCUACAUCAUCAUCCCUAUUAACAGGCAAGGCUCUAGCUGUUGGUUAUAAAUGAAAGAAACUCCAACCCAAAUUAGAGUAAGAAAAGGGAGCUACCUGGCUCAGGAAACUGACAAGUCUGAGAGUAGUUUCAGCUGCAGCUUCACGGGAGCUCACACCGUAUCAGCACGGCUCGUUUUUCUCAGUCGUUUGGCCUCUUUUUAGACCUCAGGGUAGCAACCCGGGAAACCGCUCUAACUUACGAGCACCCGGGGUUUGCGAAGAGAAAAAGCAGGCAUCUUUGUCCCAGAAUUCUCCGCAAAAACCUUUUCUCAUUGGUUCUGGGCGAGUCACGUGCCCACCCCUGCCCCAAUCACCGUGGCCUCAAGAGCGCUGCCGGUGGGGUUACGUCCCCUUAAAAACAGCUGAAAGCUGAAGAGAUACUUCCCGAAGCGAAUUCCGCGGAUCCACGGAAGAAAGGGGCUAGGAUGUCGGGGGCGCAACAGCAGCGUCCCCCGAGUUCCCAGAGCGUGCACUGCGCCUCCAGUGCCCUCAGCCUUGGCCACCGUGGGAACCACUUCUCUAUGUAAACACUCGACACAAAGCCGCCCCACCACUGACAAGUGCCCAGCCCGUGGAAAAAUGGCUUCUGUAGGACCCACUUAUUCCUUUCCCAAAUGGUCCAUUUUUUUUUUUUUUUUUUUUAGGAGAGGAUUGUGCGCCAGUGUCCCUAUCCUAAGUGACAAGGAAAAUCCUGAUCCUGUAAGUUCUUUAACAACAUGGAGAUGGUUUCUCUUUGAUUUGAAGAUACUGUGAAAUAGGAAGCACUGAAAACAGUUGAUUAGCAUUCUUUAAUCUAAUUGGCAUGGUAGGACUUUUAUUAAU
rnacentral:lncRNA from 1 species